AGUUUGAUCCUGGCUCAGAGAACGCUGGCGGCGUGCCUAAUACAUGCAAGUCGAGCGGAUGACGAGGAGCUUGCUCCUCCGAUUCAGCGGCGGACGGGUGAGUAACACGUGGGCGAACCUGCCUGCAAGAUCGGGAUAACUCCGGAAACCGGGGCUAAUACCGGAUGGUUCCUUCCUCCGCAUGGAGGAAGGCGGAAAGACGGUUUCGGCUGUCACUUGCAGAUGGGCCCGCGGCGCAUUAGCUAGUUGGUGGGGUAAUGGCCCACCAAGGCGACGAUGUGUAGCCGACCUGAGAGGGUGAUCGGCCACACUGGGACUGAGACACGGCCCAGACUCCUACGGGAGGCAGCAGUAGGGAAUCUUCCGCAAUGGACGAAAGUCUGACGGAGCAACGCCGCGUGAGCGAAGAAGGCCUUCGGGUCGUAAAGCUCUGUUGUAAGGGAAGAACAAGCAUCGGUUAACUGCCGGUGCCCUGACGGUACCUUACCAGAAAGCCACGGCUAACUACGUG
rnacentral:rRNA from 1 species